CACGUAGGGGGCGAGCGUUGUCCGGAUUUAUUGGGCGUAAAGAGCUCGUAGGCGGUUUGGCAAGUCGGGUGUGAAACUUCGAGGCUCAACCUCGAAACGCCACUCGAUACUGCCAUGACUGGAGUCCGGUAGAGGAGUGCGGAAUUCCUGGUGUAGCGGUGAAAUGCGCAGAUAUCAGGAGGAACACCAACGGCGAAGGCAGCACUCUGGGCCGGUACUGACGCUGAGGAGCGAAAGCGUGGGGAGCAAACAGG
rnacentral:rRNA from 1 species